rnacentral:rRNA from 1 species
AUACGUAGGUGGCAAGCGUUGUCCGGAAUUAUUGGGCGUAAAGCGCGCGCAGGUGGUUUCUUAAGUCUGAUGUGAAAGCCCACGGCUCAACCGUGGAGGGUCAUUGGAAACUGGGAGACUUGAGUGCAGAAGAGGAAAGUGGAAUUCCAAGUGUAGCGGUGAAAUGCGUAGAGAUUUGGAGGAACACCAGUGGCGAAGGCGACUUUCUGGUCUGUAACUGACACUGAGGCGCGAAAGCGUGGGGAGCAAACAGGAUUAGAUACCCUGGUAGUCCACGCCGUAAACGAUGAGUGCUAAGUGUUAGGGGGUUUCCGCCCCUUAGUGCUGCAGCUAACGCAUUAAGCACUCCGCCUGGGGAGUACGGUCGCAAGACUGAAACUCAAAUGAAUUGACGGGG